rnacentral:rRNA from 1 species
AGUAACGCGUGGGCAACCUGCCCUGCACAGGGGGACAACAGCCGGAAACGGCUGCUAAUACCGCAUAAGCGCACAGCUUCGCAUGAAGCGGUGCGAAAAGCUUUGGCGGUGCAGGAUGGGCCCGCGUCUGAUUAGCCAGUUGGCGGGGUAACGGCCCACCAAAGCGACGAUCAGUAGCCGGCCUGAGAGGGUGAACGGCCACAUUGGGACUGAGACACGGCCCAA